AAUUUUAUAAUUAAUUUUGGUUCCAGUGAUAACAUUGUGAUAUUGUUUGGCAAAACUAAUGUCUAGUAUAAAUUGACUUGAAUUAAAAAUUAUUUAUUUUUUGAUACAUUAGUCUUUUUAGGUUCGAUCUGUGUCUGUAAAUACACCUUCAGACAGUUAACAUACUUGUCAAUGGUAGAAUAAAGUUUUCUAAUUCUGAUUGUAAUCAUGAUUCUAAUGAUACUUGCAGGACUAUUAUUACUACUGCUGCUACUGCUAACAACAGAAACAUAAAUGUCUCUGUAUGUGAAUACUCUUUAGGCCUCCAACUCAGAAUCAUCCGACCUUCAACAAGGAUGUCAUUUUAUUACCUCAUCCAGCAUGGGAUGAAGUUUGCAGGCACCAAACCAGGAGAAGGCUUCAUGAAAGUGGUCAUAUCUUAAGUGCUUUUGAAAUGAGGAAAAUAUGGGACUGCACGCCUGUCAUUGCAGAGAUAAGAGAUGCAUUCAAGGACAGGCUUCCUGAAGAUGUCAGCACUGAACUCUUAAUGCCAUGUGGAAACAAACUGCUGCGCGUGACAGCAGGAACUGAAUGGCUUUAUGAUUCAUAAAGUUUUUAAAUAAAAAAAUCAAGCGUUCUUCCAGUUCCGUUUAAAAACACUGAUCCAGAGGAUAUCUGUAUGGAAGUUGAUGCUACAGCUUCCAGUGACCACAGAACAACUGCUAGUCAAAUCAGCAACUAUAUGAUUACAAGGGCCAGAGGAAACCAAACUGCAGCAGCACAGCAUGUUUCUAGUUCUCCUUUAACCAGAAGAGCCAAAGAAAACCAAUCCACUGCAUCACAGCAAGAGUGCAGUGACAACAUGGCCAGAGGAAACCAGUUUGGGGACAGCGUAACCAGAGGGAACCAACCCACUGACGACAUGACUAUACAGUGUCAGAAUGUGCAUCUGUGGUUGACCUGUUGCAAACCACAGAACCACUGCAGGAUUACCUGGCAAAUGCUGGGUGUCUCGGCCCGUUUAAAUGCAUUGAAGAGAGAGGCCUGUUGGUUUAAGACAUUAUUUCAC